UCUGGCCUGGCAGAUCCUCUGAGCAAAGACCUUUGUGUUCUCUCAGCAGGUGCUUCCUCCCCAUGCUUUUUCUUUUUUUAAUUAUGUUUUUUCCAUUAUGAUUCAUUCUUUUUUAAUCACCUCCCCCCACCCCAGCCAUCACCUUACUGUUGUCCGUGUCCAUGAGUCUUUUUUCCUUUUUGUCUCAGUCCCUCCACCCUCUGACUCCCCCUCCUUAGCUGUCACCCUGGUCUCUAAGAGUCUGUCUCUACUUUCCUUCUUAGUUCAGUUUGUGUAUUGGAUUCCACACAUGAGUGAAAUCAUAUGGUAUUUGUGUUUCUCUAACUGGCUUAUUUCACACAGCAUCAAAUUUUCCAGGUCAAUCCAUCGUGUCAUAAAAGGUAAAAUUUUCUUCAUUUUUAUGGCAAAGCAGUAUUCCAUUGUGUAAAUGUCCAUAGUUGUUUUAUCCACUCAUCUAUUGAUGGACACUGAGGCUGCUUCCUAUCUUGUAGACUAUAAACAAUGCCGCCAUGAACAUAGGGCUGCUGAUGUUCUAUCAAAGUAGUGUUUGGGGUCCAUUCAGAUGGUCCAUAAGGCCAUGCUGUCCUGAAUGUACCUGAUAUUGUCUGAUCCACAUGAUUUUUCUAGGGGUGAAGCCAACCUCCAUCCCCCUCUGUCUGGGGUGUGAACUGAGCUCCAGCACCAGGGCUCAGGAAGGGGCUGGGCGGCCCCUGGAUGGACACACAUUUGCAUACACAGCCCCUCCCCUGGCAGGGGGUGGGGAGAAAAGGAGGCCUGGGCAGCCCAGCUCCACUGUGGGCUCAGGGGCUGUGUGCACCAUGGCCUGGACCCCUCUCGUCUUCAUGCUCCUCUCUCACUGCACAGGUUCCCUCUCCCAGCCUAUGGUGACUCAGCUGCCCUCCCUCUCUGCAUCUUCUGGAGCCUCAGCCAGAGUCACCUGCACCCUAAGCAGUGGCUUCAGUGUCGGCAGCUGUGGUAUAUUCUGGUACCAGCAGAAGUCAGGGAGCCCUCCUCGGUAUCUGCUGUACUAUCACACAAACUCAAGUAAACAUCAAGGCUCCGGGGUCCCCAGUCGCUUCUCUGGAUCCAAAGACACCUCGGCCAAUGCCGGGCUCCUGUUCACCUCUGGGCUGCAGCCUGAGCACGAGGCCGACUAUUACUGUGCUGCAUGGGACAGCAGUGGUACUUACACGGUGCUCCAGAGCCACGGGGAAGUGAGACUGAAUCCUCCCCUUGCUCUUUCUGGCUGCGGCUGUCCCUCCUGAGGUGGCUGUGACAAAGACUAAUGUAGAGUGACAUUUAUUGUCACGUCUUCAGUGGGCAACUCUUUUCCUAGGACCCCUGGAUGUGUGCUUUAUCCCUUAUUGUCUAUAGGUAAAAAUUUUGUUUUCUAGUAUUACUAUCUUUAUUGCCUGCUCACAAACUAAAUAUUUUGCAAAGAUCACAUAAGGUGUAUCCUACAAAUUUACAACAGUCUCUUCUGUUCUCUGUGUGGACCAAAAUUCCAAGACCCCUAAUCAGUUAGAUCCAGAGUUAUUAGUAAAAUCAUCCCAAAUCAUGACCAUUGUACUUGCAUUCCUCAGACAGGUCAUAGGACCUGGAGGGAUUGGGAUGUGGACCCAGCAGGGGGCGCUGUGGGGCUGUCCUAAAGGGAGAGGGGUUUGAAUUUGUACUGGGAUAUACACUUGGAUGCUCCAGACAUGCGAUAAAAAUGAGUUUUUAUCUAAAGAACUUAUAAAUGUCUUCUUAAUUACAAUUGAAACCAGAACUAUGCCAUCUGUGUAUUUACAGCUCUCUGUCUGCUUGUUACCAGCCCCUGAAGCUGUGCUGUGAGGAAAAGUGUAAGGAGUGGAAAAAAGCACCUGCACGGGAGAUGCUUUGUGUGGGUGGGAUUGGACCUGAGGGUGGGUGAGGAGAUGGGCCAAUGAGGCCUAAUAAAUAGACUGAUCUUCAGUCUGGAAUUGGCGGAAUAAGUAGGAGUGGCGUGGAUGUAUGGGUGGGGCCCGGAAUGUUCUAAUCACAAGUAAGAAUGCAAAGGAAAAGAUACUGAUCAUUCAAAUAAAUGAGGGAAGUUGCUGUGGGCCAGGCCUUUGGUUAGUGAAGCAGGAAGGGCCCCAGGACAGUGGGGGGUGACAUGCUCACUCUCCAUCUGCAAUGGGAACAAAAUGAGCAGGACAGGAGGUCAGCCUCCCCUGCCCUGGGGACGGCUGCAGUGUUGGGAGCCCUGGUGCAGGCUGGUACCAACACAUCCCUGGUGCUGCCCCAAAGCUGUGAUGCUCAGAACUACUUGGCCCUCAGGGAUCCCAGCUUGGUUCUCUGGCUCCAGGUUAAGCAACAUGGCUUCUCUGACCAUCACGAGCCUGCAGCCCGAGAACAGGGCUGAAAAUGACCAUUGAACUGUGAUGAUACCAACACGGCUGUCAAAGAAGCACUGAAGUUUAGGGAGAGUGUUCAGUAUGAUGACCUAACGUCCCUGGGGCUUUGUCACAGCCUCCCUCACCAUCCACAAUGGCUCUGUGUUCACUCAACACACCUUCUCCAGACUCUACUGUGUGUCAGACUCGUAUUCCUCU